UUUCCCUCCCAGCUGGAGUCAUGACUCCCGCCUCUACCUUUUCGACUUCAUAUCUCCCACUCUCGUUAGGGUUUGAAAUUAGGGCAUUCUUCGAGCUUAUAUCCGUCCUUAUUUUUUUUUUUUGUGCCACUAUGCUACAUCGAUCCAUCCCAACUUCGACAUUAACUCAGCCGACAUCUGUAUUGGGAGCACAUACGAUCUUCAUUCGUCCCAAUUCGUAUCUCCUCACCAUCUUCCUGCGGUCUACAAAUCUUCCGACUUCAACGAGGCUAUUGAACUUUUGAAGCUACAAGCUCUCUGGUCUCUUGGAGUGCAGAGACAAUGAAACCCAGAUUGAAGUCAUUGAUACGAGUAAGGAGGUGGAUUUGGAUCUUAUCAAGACAAAUUUGUCAGGUUUGACACCUUAUGCUGCUGGCUAUCCUUUUCUUUCUCUUUUUCUAUUCUAUGUACCCCUGCUUUUUGUAGUUCAGAUAAACUGAGAUGACAAUUGCUGAUAAAUCAACAAAGAUUAUAGAAUGUCAACGUGUUUGUUUUAGUAGCAAGGACUCUAUGAUGCUGAAGCUACAUGUUACAUAUACAUCGCUUUGUAGCAUCACAAAAAACAUAGUUGGUUAUACCUUGUGGGUGACAAUAUCAUCCAUCAACCUGCAAAUCCCACAAGAAGCUUUUACAAUAGGAGGAUAGCUGAAAAGCCAUUGGAAUGUCU